ACCCGCUGAACUUAAGCAUAUCAAUAAGCGGAGGAAAAGAAACCAACAGGGAUUGCCUUAGUAACGGCGAGUGAAGCGGCAAAAGCUCAAAUUUGAAAUCUGGCACCUUCGGUGUCCGAGUUGUAAUUUGAAGAAGGUAACUUUGGAGUCAGCUCUUGUCUAUGUUCCUUGGAACAGGACGUCACAGAGGGUGAGAAUCCCGUGCGAUGAGAUGUCUGAUUCUAUGUAAAGUGCUUUCGAAGAGUCGAGUUGUUUGGGAAUGCAGCUCUAAGUGGGUGGUAAAUUCCAUCUAAAGCUAAAUAUUGGCGAGAGACCGAUAGCGAACAAGUACAGUGAUGGAAAGAUGAAAAGAACUUUGAAAAGAGAGUGAAAAAGUACGUGAAAUUGUUGAAAGGGAAGGGUUUGAGAUCAGACUUGGUAUUUUGUAUGUCUUGCUUUCGGGUGGGGCCUCUACAGUUUACUGGGCCAGCAUCGGUUUGGACGGUAGGAUAAUGACAUUGGAAUGUGGCACCACUUCGGUGGUGUGUUAUAGACUUUGUUGAUACUGCCUGUCUAGACCGAGGACUGCGUC
rnacentral:rRNA from 1 species